CCUACGGGUGGCAGCAGUGGGGAAUAUUGCACAAUGGGGGAAACCCUGAUGCAGCAACGCCGCGUGAAGGAAGACGGUUUUCGGAUUGUAAACUUCUGUUCUUAGUGAAGAAUAAUGACGGUAGCUAAGGAGCAAGCCACGGCUAACUACGUGCCAGCAGCCGCGGUAAUACGUAGGUGGCAAGCGUUGUCCGGAAUUACUGGGUGUAACGGGAGCGCAGGCGGGAAGGUAAGUCAGCUGUGAAAACUACGGGAUAAACUUGUAGAUGGCAAUGGAAACUGGGUUGUUUGAGUGAAGUUGGGGUAGGGGGAAUUCGGGGGGUAGCGGGGAAAUGGGUAGAUAUCAGGAGGAA
rnacentral:rRNA from 1 species